rnacentral:rRNA from 1 species
AGAACGAACGCUGGCGGCAGGCUUAACACAUGCAAGUCGAGCGCCCAGCAAUGGGAGCGGCGGACGGGUGAGUAACACGUGGGAACAUGCCCUUUGGUACGGGACAACUCAGGGAAACUUGAGCUAAUACCGUAUGAGCCGGUAACGGGAAAGAUUUAUCGCCAAAGGAAUGGCCCGCGUCCGAUUAGCUAGUUGGUGAGGUAAUGGCUCACCAAGGCACCGAUCGGUAGCUGGUUUGAGAGAACGACCAGCCACACUGGGACUGAGACACGGCCCAGACUCCUACGGGAGGCAGCAGUGGGGAAUCUUGGACAAUGGGGGCAACCCUGAUCCAGCCAUGCCGCGUGAGUGAUGAAGGCCUUCGGGUUGUAAACUCUUUCGACGGGGACGAUAAUGACGGUACCCGUAGAAGAAGCUCCGGCUAACUUCGUGCCAGCAGCCGC